AUGUCUGAAAGCUCCACAGGUCAAAACACAAGUAGUCAAGAGAUUUGUCCAUCUAAUUCAUCAUACUACUCUGAUCCAAGUGAGACCCACACUGGGUCAGCUCCAUCAAGGAGAAGAACAUUCCACCCACGUUUGGAUUCUGGAAUAUCAUCCUUGCUUCCAUCAGAUUCUUGUAAGUACCUCACUUGGCACAAGAUAGAACAACAUGGCGUUCAAGAAAGUCAACUGCGUUGCCCAAGAGUAAGAGAAGGACCCUCUGAAGAAGAGCAACUUUUCAGACAGGUAGAGUGUGCCUUGCUCCCAAGGAAAAGAGUUCUUGAAAAAAACAAAUGGGAAACAUGGCUACAAGAAAACUGGGAAGACUGCAAGAAUUUGAACAUUUCAUUUCAGGAUUUGGGGGAUCCUUACCAGGUUGAAAAUUUUAACAGAAUUCUUAGAAGACUAAUUCGAGUUGAAACCCCCUGGUUAGUGGAUAAUUCACUGGUGGACUUAAGUGCCAUAAGAUUGCCAAGCUGCAGAAUUUUAAAUAUGAGCAAAAACCAUCUCACAUCUUUCAAACAGUUACCAAAGAUACCUCAGAUACAGCAUUUAUCCUUGGCCGAAAACCACAUUGAGACUCUUACUGGAUUCUCCAGUUUACGGUGCACUCCACUGGAAUCCCUUAUUCUCAAGAGGAACCCUUGUGAGUUCCACCAAAAUUAUAGGAAGCAAUCCACCAAUAAGAAGACAGCACAAUUCAAAAGAGAAAGGACUUAAUGACAGAGCUAAUAAUAGUAUUCUCCUGUUUGCCAAACUUAAAAAUGCUGGAUGGAAUCUUGAAGCUACCAGAAGAUUGCUUAUCACCAGAAACCAAUAUUUUUUCAAAAAUAUGCCUUGUAUCCUAA
rnacentral:sRNA from 1 species